rnacentral:sRNA from 1 species
AAAAUAAGUAUGAUUAUUUCUAUCGAAGCGAUGCAUCUCCUCCCGCAUCCUUCGAUAUGCAGGCGCCCGUCCUCCUCCCAAGGUCGCCUGCGGGAACGACAGCACUCCUCCUCCCA